rnacentral:tRNA from 1 species
UCCCUGGUGGUCUAUCAGUUAGGAUUUGGAGCUCUCACCUCCGUGGCCCUGGUUCGAUUCCCAGUUAGGGAA